GCUGCGUAACACAUGAGAAUGAACCUCAUUGGUUCUUGCAGAAGCUCAAAUGAAAUAUUUCUAUUUUUUUGGGUGAACUAACCCUUAAAAAUAUAGGGCAGAAGUUGUAUGGACUAUUGUGGACAACAACACACACUUUUUACAUUCUGCUUAACAAGUUCUGGUCCACAGUAGAAAGAAUUCCAUACAGGUUUGGACGAACAUGUGGAUUUAUCAGAUCCCUGUGGCAACACAGAAACGAGGGAGACAUCGAAACUGGACUGAGAUCACGACCUAAGCAGAUCUCCAAUUCGCCGCGUUCAUUCCCACCCCUCCACAGACCUGACCGCGAAACUCCAACCUUUCGAUUAUCCACAUUUUUAAACACUGUGACAUCUUCUGUCUCUGAGAUUUCACGCGACGAGCAGCUGACAGCGGAACCGGGAGCAUUUAAGCAACGCCAUCGGUGGUACCGGAGCGCUCGUGCCCGUGUCUCCGUGCGUUAAGACGCGUUCAGACGGGAGCGAGACCAGCCGACGCUGAGAUCCAAAGGCAUGCCAAUAAAGUGAGAGGAAACCCGGGGACGCUCGUGCGAUCCGGCGGCUGUCCUCGCGGGGUAAACGAGAGCAGGAUUCAGUGCACGAGACGGGCAUUUACAUCACGAUGUGCCCCUCGAACACAGCCGCUUCUUCCCUGUAUGUUUGUCCGCAUUUUCCAGCUUUUUCCUGCUUCUCUCUCCCUCUCAUCUCCCUCUCCUGCCGGCGCAACAACGCCACUCAGUUGUAGUUGGAAAUAGUUUGAGUUUAUUGGGAAUAUACAGGUUGUUUCAGAUGCAUCAACGAAAAGAUUUGUGGAAUCAUCGUCUAUAUCGCUUCAUGAAACCCUUUCAUGCUGAUGUUUUCAUUCAUAUUUUGUAUAAACAUGUGGAAUGAUAUGAUUGACAGCUGUCAAAAUCAACUCAAAUGCCAAGUUGAGGUUUAAAUGAAUCUGAGACUAAAUAAUUUUGAAACAGAUAGUGAAAAGAGUGAACAAAUAAAACUAUUUAUUCGUUUAUUUUUAAUUAAAGAUAUUAAAGAGAUAUAUCCUACGCCAUGUCCAUGUUAGGUCUACAGAUACCUGCGUCAGAUGCAAAUGUUCAUGGUUAAAGUAGCCUGUUCUUGCACUAAUGCACAUUCAAUAUAUGAUUUUAUUUUUCUAAGUUAAUCCGUCUUGACAUAAAUAAAGGCCUGUUUCUUGAUGUGCAUAAGAACCUGUGACCUGUCAAGGUCAUGAGCUGACAGCCUCCCCAUUUAAUGUCCUGUUCAUUGUGUUGUGCUCUAAAUAGACUGUUUAAUUGAACAUGGCAGUGUAUGUAAGCAUGUGUGCACAUGAUCAGUUGAUUCUGCUGAUAUACUAACAAUAAGAACAUUCACAUCCAUUAACGACAGUCUACAACCUGGCUUUAGUGGAUUAUGAAAAUUAUUAGAUAUUUUUAUGUGCAAAAAAUUGCAAAAACCAUAUUAAGCCUGUUCAAACUGACAUAAUUUAUAUUUGUAUAAAUCAAAACCGCACGCUAUGUGGUUUAGUGGUGUUUUCUUGGCUUUGGUGAGUAAAGUUUUGCAACUGAUAUAUUAGUGAAAAUAUAUUGGAGCUCUUUUGUAAUCUAUUUAAAGCUAUCGUGCUCAGAUGGAUAUAAGAAUUAUGGAUGUAUCACUGUAAAUGAAUCAUUUGAAAUAAUUUGUUCUGAAGUGAGUUUUUUUGUGCAUUGAAAUAGUUCACAAUGCUACUUUUGUAAUGAUCAAAGUUACCUUGAAUAUUUAAUAUGAUAGAAAAUAUGUUUAUUUGCAUGAUAAAUGUGUAUGAAAAUCAUAAUAUGAUGUUUCUUUACAUCUCUGUGUUUGUCUGUUUUGGAAUUUUACACAUAGUAAAACUUUACAGUCUUUA